rnacentral:tRNA from 1 species
GAGGGUAUAGCUCAAAUGGUAGAGCACAUGCUUAGCAUGCAUCAGGUCCUGGAUUCAAUCCCCAGUACCUCCU